rnacentral:lncRNA from 1 species
GGGAAUUACCCACUUAAUCCUUGGCACAAAGUGCUGAUAAUAUGCCAAUUAACGAGUAAUUAGGAAGAUUUUUCCCGAACAUUAGGUUCUGGGAGAAAGUCUCAUUUGAGAAAGAGGUUUGUAUGUCUUCUCUCCUCUUCCUGUGGUUUUCAGCUCAGCGGGCGUCCAGCGAAUCUGGGUUUGUUUACAAUGACUCCAGGGCUGUUCCAUUCACUGAUUUGGUUCAAGCAGCGUGUGUAAAUCAUGCUAUGCUGACCCUGGUCAUCCCAGAGCCCGCGUGAAUAAAAAAGGGGCCUUGCUCUCCCACUGUGAGACAGACUUGCAUGGGAUUCCUUCAGUGCAGAAUUCUGGAAUGUUGAUGAACACCAGGACAUCAACUGGGAGUGGCCCAGAAGCCCGAAGCUGAGAGGACAAAGCUCACUGGGGUGACAUGAAAUGGCCGUUCUAGUCUAUGCAAUGGCAGCAUGAACACAGAAAGCUGAAACGGGGGAUCAGUUCUGCAGCCAAGAGACAUUAAAGCUCAAAGGAAAAGAGAGUGGAGGGGCUGCUGCCCCAGGAAGGCUGGGCCCACCCCUCCUCACAGGCACCCUGAUGCCUGUUCAGCUUGGCUCUCUGGAUGACAGGCAGAAGCCCCAGUUGCUUCUCUUCUCCACGGUGAUUUCUGCAUACUUUAUCCAAACCCCCUCCCCACCGCUGUUCAGUUUCUGGCUCCUCUUCCUGCCCGUGCUCUGAGGCCAGCUGGGGGCCUCCCAGGUGACUCCUGCUGCUGCUGUCACUGGACCCUGACGCUGUGCCGCACCCGAAUUCCUCCGAAUGGAGCCUUGGCCAGAGCAAGGCGUGCCGUGUAGAGGAGCGGAUCUGAGCCUGGCAGGAGAUCGCUAAAACCUUUGCCCUUCACACAAACGCGGAAGCACGGGGCGGGUGCUGAAGAGCCAAGCAAGUGUCCCCCAUUUCCUUCCAAGGCAGAGCAGCAGCCCAGGGAGGCCCAGUUUCCAUCGCGGCAGAAGGGCAGAAGAGUGGGGGAGGUCCCAGGACCACAGCCCAGGGGACACUCAGGAUGCGCCAGGAAGGACAUGGCAGACAGGCCCUUUAGGUGGAAAAGCAACCCUCAGCUGCCCAGAGAGCGGCCCCUCCAGGCCCUCCCCGCCGUCUGCAAAGCUCUUCAGCUGGGAGAGGAGGAAAGGGUUUGUUCUUGACCUCCUUCCUUUCCUUUCUUCUCCACUGUCCACCAGAGAGCAGGAAGACAGGCUGAUGCUCUUGUUAAAGAUGAAGGCAUAAUUCACAUGCCAUAAAAUUCACCAUUUUAACCAUUUUAAGGUGCACAGUUCAGUGGUUUUGAGUGCAUUACAUUGUUGGGCAACCAUCAGCAUGGUCUAAUUCCAAAACAUUUCUGUCACUCCAAAAAGAAAUCUUGUACCCAUUAGCAGUCACUCCCCAUUUCCCCCUACCCCCCAGCCCCCCGGCACCCACGAAGGUGCUUUCUCUGUUUCGAGGGAUCUUCCUAUUGUGGCAAAUCCUCUGAAUGGAAUCAUACAAUAUGUGGUCUUCUGCCACUGGCUUCUUUCACUGACCAUAAUUUUUCAAGGUUCACCCACGUUGUAGCAUGCGUCAGCGCUUCAUUCCUUUCCAUGGCUGGACUGUAUUUCAUUGUAUGUCUGGACCACAUUCUGUUUCUCUAGUCAUCAGUUGAUUACUUACUUUUCAGGGCCCACUUAGCCUUUCUUCCCAAGGGCAGGGGCUCUGUUGUCCACUGUUUUGGAGUCUUCCAGCAGACUUGAUGGAGUGUACCAGUGGUUUCCUUGCUGGGCAAAUAACCAGAGGGUCCCUGGGUACGGGAAUCUCUGAGUCCUGAUCUUUGGCUCUGCUGCAGACCAGGUCACUGUAUGAUCUUUUAGCAGCCUCUUUACCUCACCUGGCCUCAGUUUCUUCAUCUGAAAAAUGAAGGGCUUGAAGCAGAUGGUCUCUAACACUUCUCCUGGCCCAACACUUUAAGAUGUUUCAGCAAAGCAGUGAAGAAGCAGCCUUCUGUGACCUUUCUGAACAAGGCAGAGGAAAGCAAGCUGUAGGCUGACAUAGUUAGGUGAUUCCAUAACAAAAUUGCGCUGUAAACAAUCAUCUGGAUCAAUCGACAGAAGGCACUUGCAACAGGUUCCCAGAUGACAGAAAACUAUAGGAAUGACAGGGAAGGAAUGAUGGGGCAGAUUAAAAUGGAGAAAUUUAACAGGGACAAAUGUAAAAGUCGGACAUUUUGCUCCAAAGUUCAACAGAACAGCUACCUGCUUUGUUGGAUAUGUUCAGGCAGUGUCCUUUAUAAGAGUUUGAUUGACUCUAAAUGAAUCUCAUUAUGAGUCACCAUUGGGACAGGCUGCCAAAAGGCCAAUGUGACUUCAGAUUAAAUCAAUAGAGGUCUACUGGCUGAAACAAGGGAGGUGACAUUAUUGAGUCCAUCCCUGGUGUAUGUAGCUGCUACCCUCUGAGAAGGAGGCCCCCAAUAGGAAAAGCCAGAGGGAGGAUGGAUAAGACAUGAAGAGCUCUAGAACCAUGGUUUGGUAGUAGGAGGGGCUCAGGGUUUGGGUCUUUAAAAGAUAAGACAGAGAGUGCUGUUCACAUCUGUGAAGGAACAUGGCAUGAGAAGGGGAGUUGACUUCCACCAUGGGGACCUGCAGGGUGACUGGGGCUGGAAGAUGAUCAAUUGUGACCCAGGACCAGGAAGAACUUCGCAGCAACAAAAGUCACAGGAAAUGGAAAAAACUCCUGGUGAAGAACACAG